rnacentral:rRNA from 1 species
GACGAACGCUGGCGGCGUGCUUAACACAUGCAAGUCGAACGGUGAAGCGCCUUCCUUUUUGGUGGGUGUGGAUGAGUGGCGAACGGGUGAGUAACACGUGAGUAACCUGCCCCCUUCUUCUGGAUAACCGCAUGAAAGUGUGGCUAAUACGGGAUAUUCUGGGUCUGUCGCAUGAUGGGUCUGGGAAAGAUAUUGUUUCGGUGGGGGAUGGGCUCGCGGCCUAUCAGCUUGUUGGUGGGGUGAUGGCCUACCAAGGCGGUGACGGGUAGCCGGCCUGAGAGGGUGGACGGUCACACUGGGACUGAGACACGGCCCAGACUCCUACGGGAGGCAGCAGUGGGGAAUAUUGCACAAUGGGCGCAAGCCUGAUGCAGCGACGCCGCGUGAGGGAUGGAGGCCUUCGGGUUGUGAACCUCUCUCGCCAGUGAAGCAGGCCUGCCUCGUUUGUGGGUGGGUUGACGGUAGCUGGAGAAGAAGCGCCGGCUAACUACGUG